UAUUCCUUUCAAAUCAAACCCUAACUUUAAGUCUUCGUCAUUCUCUCUACUGCGCCGGCGCCACCACAACCACCACCGUCAUGGACUUCUCACCACCGCCGAUUGACGACGGUUUCUCCGCAGAGAAGCUUUUCAACCAAGGCUACUCCUACACUUACGAUGACGUUAUCUUUCUCCCUCACUACAUAGACUUCCCAACCGACGCUGUCUCCCUCUCUACGCGCCUCACUCGCAACAUCGAGCUCUCCAUUCCUUUUGUUGCCUCGCCGAUGGAUACUGUCACUGAGGACUACAUGGCCGCCGCUAUGGCUGCUCUCGGAGGCAUCGGUAUUGUUCACUCCAACUGCACGCCUUCCGACCAGGGUAGUCUCGUUGCCUCAGCCAAGUCGCGCCGCGUCCCGAUCUUUUCAUCAAAUUCGGCGAUUUUUAGGGCGCAGGACUGCUGGAUUGAUGAUGUAACGGAGUUUGGAGAGUACAAUCAUCUUUUUGUCACCGAGUCUGGUACUGCAAGAUCGAAGGUAUUGGGUUAUGUGGCAAAAUCUGAUUGGGAGAAUUUGAAUGAUAAGAAAGUAAAAAUUUUUGAUUAUAUGCGUGAUUGCAGUUCCAAGGUUUAUGUUUCCUCGGAAUAUGAUUUGGGUCAAAUUAGUGGAGUUUUGGAGAAAAAUGAGCUUGAUUUUGUUGUUUUGGAGAGUAAUGGUGAGGUGGUAGAUGUGGUUCUGAAGGAGGAUGUGGAGAGAAUAAAAGGUUAUCCAAGAUUGGGGAAGGGCUCAGUGGGACCUGAUGGAAAGUGGAUGGUGGGGGCAGCGAUUGGGACAAGGGAAUCUGAUAAGCAGAGGUUAGAGCAUUUGGUGAAGGCUGGGGUGAAUGUGAUAGUGUUGGAUAGUUCUCAAGGAAAUUCAAGUUAUCAGAUUGAGAUGAUCAAGUAUGUGAAGAAGAUGUAUCCGAAGUUGGAUUUGAUUGGUGGAAAUGUUGUGACAAUGUAUCAAGCGCAGAAUUUGAUUCAGGCUGGUGUGGAUGGGUUAAGAGUUGGGAUGGGUUCUGGGUCCAUAUGUACCACACAAGAGGUUUGUGCAGUGGGGCGAGGCCAGGCAACUGCUGUUUACAAAGUUUCAUCUAUUGCUGCACAAAAUGGUGUGCCUGUCAUCGCUGAUGGUGGCAUUUCAAACUCUGGACAUAUUGUUAAGGCUUUGACCCUGGGGGCAUCUACUGUAAUGAUGGGGAGCUUCUUAGCGGGAAGUACAGAGGCUCCUGGAACUUAUCAGUAUCAGGAGGGCUGCCGGGUAAAAAAAUAUCGGGGCAUGGGUUCCCUUGAAGCAAUGACUAAGGGGAGUGAUGCAAGAUACUUGGGUGAUACGGCUAAGCUAAAGAUUGCUCAGGGGGUUGUUGGAGCUGUUGCAGACAAAGGUUCUGUUUUGAAGUUCAUACCAUACACAAUGCAAGCAGUCAAGCAAGGGUUCCAGGAUCUUGGUGCUUCUUCUCUGCAAUCAGGUCAUGAGCUUUUAAGGUCAAGAUCACUAAGGCUGGAGGUCCGAACAGGAGCUGCACAAGUUGAAGGUGGAGUACAUGGGCUGGUUUCCUAUGAAAAGAAAUCCUUUUGAGAUUUAAACUGCUCUGCUACCCAUCAAUGCUGCUGCGAAUUUUGCUCGGUCUCUGAUUGAUGCAUUAGUAUGAACAAUAAUCAAGUAAAUUUGAUCAACAGAAAGAUUUUUGGUGCAAUUUGUUUUGAGCUCUCGUGAAGUCGCGGACGUUUUAGCCAGGGCUGUCAAGAAUCAUGCAUCCUCACGGAUCUGUGCUCAUUUGUUGUUUGGCAUGAGACAUGCGCAAAGCAAAAGAAAAGCAUGUACCUCAAAGUUAAGAUACUUCAAAGUUCAACCACUCAGCCUUCUUCAACACAGACUUUGAGUACUUCAACCACUGCCAUGUAAAAAUUUGCUAAUUUAGAUCUCUUGUUGAACAAAAUGAUGAAUAAUGAAGGUCCGAUGUGAGGUACCCUCAGGAUUUCUGAGGAAUUCCAACCCAUAAAUUUGCACGAGGCUUAGACACAUUGAAAUAAGAGUGUGAUUGUUACCAUUUGCUGACAAAAAGCCUUCUGAUAGAUCUGAGAAAGAUAACACGACAGGAGUAAAGAUUUCAUCUCACACUUUCAGCGAUGUGAGUUGUUACAUCACGUCCUUGCCAUGUAAAUGCUUUUUCUCCAAUCUCACAAAUAGAGCUGUGAAUUGCUGAAACUAUCAUCUCUAAUUGUUCAGAACAACAAUUGAUGUCUUCCUCUACAUUCCACCCGGGGUUCCAAAAAAAAAAAAAAAAAAAAAAAAAAAA